UCCCUGGUAGCUCAGUUGGCAGAGCAGCUGACUGUUAAUCAGCGGGUCCGUGGUUCAAGUCCACGCCAGGGAG
rnacentral:tRNA from 1 species